rnacentral:rRNA from 1 species
AUUACCGAUAAAAGUAUCCAACAACUACCCAGUUGUACUGUGUGAACUGUACCAAACUAUUAGGGGUCGGCUAGUCCGUUAAAUGGUGGUCGGACGCGAGAGAUCGCGGCCGCUCCGCCAGCCCCGCUUGUGUUUUUUACAAUCAUAAGUGUCAAAGUCUGAAUGUGUGGCCCUGCGCCACAGAGAGCAAAAAAAUGAGAUACAACUUUUGACGGUGGAUCUCUUGGCUCACGCAUCGAUGAAGAACGCAGCCAGCUGCGAUAAGUAGUGUGAAUUGCAGAAUUCAGUGAAUCAUCGAAUCUUUGAACGCAAAUGGCGCUCUUGGGUUCUCCCAGGAGCAUGUCUGUCUGAGUGUCGGAUAUCAUCCAUCGCACUUGAGUGUGCGGAAUUGAGGUGUCACGGCGGCCUGUUCUGCCGUGUCCCUUGAAAAUCAGAGAGACUCGCUGUGGYUUGGGUCCAUUCCCUGCACACUUGCGGAGGCUAAAAUGUCUUUUGCCCUUCGCGUGCUGGGAAUGCCUCUGCUGCGAGUCGCAUUGGCGAACUUUUUCAAACUAUCUUGACCUCAGAUCAGGCAAGGCUACCCGCUGAAUUUAAGCAUAUUAAUAA